UCCGUAGGUGAACCUGCGGAAGGAUCAUUACAGAAUGAAAGUGCUUAACUGCAUUUUUUUACACAUGUGUUUUUCUUUUUUUGAAAACUUUGCUUUGGUGGGCCCACGGCCUGCCAGAGAUUAAACUCAACCAAAUUUUAUUUAAAGUCAACUGAUUAACUAAUAGUCAAAACUUUCAACAACGGAUCUCUUGGUUCUCGCAUCGAUGAAGAACGCAGCGAAAUGCGAUAAGUAAUAUGAAUUGCAGAUAUUCGUGAAUCAUCGAAUCUUUGAACGCACAUUGCGCCCUUUGGUAUUCCAAAGGGCAUGCCUGUUUGAGCGUCAUUUCUCCCUCAAACCUUCGGGUUUGGUGUUGAGCGAUACGCUGGGUUUGCUUGAAAGAAAGGCGGAGUAUAAACUAAUGGAUAGGUUUUUUUCCACUCAUUGGUACAAACUCCAAAAUUCUUCCAAAUUCGACCUCAAAUCAGGUAGGACUACCCGCUGAACUUAAGCAUAUCAAUAAGCGGAGGAAAAGA
rnacentral:sRNA from 1 species